UUCUCUUUCUCUCGCUUGCUGGCCUUGGACAAUCUCCCCCCAGUUUUCCUCGACGCCACCCCCAGCGCUGCCAACCCUCCUCCCCCCGCCUCCCUUCUCUUCCCUGUGCCCAGACUCUUGUUCGGGGCCUUGAAACAGUGAGCUGUCUUUGUUCGAAAUACAGGUGAACGGCAAUCAUGUGAUUAACACACACACACAUAAAAAGCUUUUUAACAGCGCCCGCCCGGCCUCAGAACCGCCCGGAGAGAAGCCGCCAUGGAUGGACAGAGGGACUGAGCUACAAGCAUCCAGCCAGUCGUGUCCUGGCUCCCGGCGUCGGUCCCCAACGUCCGCCGCUCUCCGCCGGCUGCCCGCCUGCCUGCCUGGCAUCUCUCUCCCGGUUCCCGUCAUGAGGGGCUGCAGAGUCACCAUAUGACAAACAGGACAGACCUGCCACAACCACAAGGCAGGGCUGCUUCCCCAAGGACCAUGUGCCAACCCAGGCUCUGUUGUGACUCGGUUCCAGGGGAGACUGCACUUGACUCCAUUAAAGAAGAUAGGUCUGUACAGAUCUAUGCCCGAAGAUGCCAUUGCUAUGUGUGUAAUAACAAAAGCUGGCCUUGUCUUAACGUUCAGGAGCACAGGACGGGAACCCACGGCAGAUCACCUUCACGGAACAAACACAUUGUGGUAGUAAAAACGACAUUCACGCAGGAUUUUAA